rnacentral:rRNA from 1 species
UAGCUUGCUACACCAUAAACUGUGAGUUGCGAACGGGUGAGUAACGCGUAGGUAACCUGCCUGGUAGCGGGGGAUAACUAUUGGAAACGAUAGCUAAUACCGCAUAAUAUUGAUUAUUGCAUGAUAAUUGAUUGAAAGAUGCUAUUGCAUCACUACCAGAUGGACCUGCGUUGUAUUAGCUAGUAGGUGAGGUAACGGCUCACCUAGGCGACGAUACAUAGCCGACCUGAGAGGGUGAUCGGCCACACUGGGACUGAGACACGGCCCAGACUCCUACGGGAGGCAGCAGUAGGGAAUCUUCGGCAAUGGACGAAAGUCUGACCGAGCAACGCCGCGUGAGUGAAGAAGGUUUUCGGAUCGUAAAGCUCUGUUGUAAGAGAAGAGCGGGUGUGAGAGUGGAAAGUUCACACUGUGACGGUAUCUUACCAGAAAGGGACGGCUAACUACGUGCCAGCAGCCGCGGUAAUACGUAGGUCCCGAGCGUUGUCCGGAUUUAUUGGGCGUAAAGCGAGCGCAGGCGGUUAGAUAAGUCUGAAGUUAAAGGCUGUGGCUUAACCAUAGUACGCUUUGGAAACUGUUUAACUUGAGUGCAGAAGGGGAGAGUGGAAUUCCAUGUGUAGCGGUGAAAUGCGUAGAUAUAUGGAGGAACACCGGUGGCGAAAGCGGCUCUCUGGUCUGUAACUGACGCUGAGGCUCGAAAGCGUGGGGAGCGAACAGGAUUAGAUACCCUGGUAGUCCACGCCGUAAACGAUGAGUGCUAGGUGUUAGGCCCUU